UACGUAGGUGGCAAGCGUUGUCCGGAUUUACUGGGCGUAAAGAGCGCGCAGGCGGCUGGUCAAGUCCGAUGUGAAAUCUCCCGGCUCAACUGGGAAACUGCAUCGGAAACUGAUCGGCUUGAAGGUGGGAGAGGGUAGUGGAAUUCCCGGUGUAGUGGUGAAAUGCGUAGAGAUCGGGAGGAACACCAGUAGCGAAGGCGGCCGGCUGGGCCGACCCUGACGCUGAGGCGCGAAGGCGUGGGGAGCGAACGGG
rnacentral:rRNA from 1 species